rfam:Flavobacterium hercynium strain DSM 18292 43415_contig_77, whole genome shotgun sequence.
AUCUAGCCCCGAUAGAAGUGGAAAUCCUUUUAUAGCGGUGUUCGCUAUAAAAGAUUAGAGCGGAUAGCGGGACUUUGG